rnacentral:rRNA from 1 species
GAUGAACGCUAGCGGGAGGCCUAACACAUGCAAGCCGAGCGGUAUUGUUUCUUCGGAAAUGAGAGAGCGGCGUACGGGUGCGUAACACGUGUGCAACCUGCCUUUAUCUGGGGGAUAGCCUUUCGAAAGGAAGAUUAAUACUCCAUAAUAUAUUGAACGGCAUCGUUUAAUAUUGAAAGCUCCGGCGGAUAGAGAUGGGCACGCGCAAGAUUAGCUAGUUGGUGAGGUAACGGCUCACCAAGGCGAUGAUCUUUAGGGGGCCUGAGAGGGUGAUCCCCCACACUGGUACUGAGACACGGACCAGACUCCUACGGGAGGCAGCAGUGAGGAAUAUUGGUCAAUGGGUGCAAGCCUGAACCAGCCAUCCCGCGUGAAGGACGACUGCCCUAUGGGUUGUAAACUUCUUUUGUAUAGGGAUAGACCUACCCUCGAGAGGGUAGCUGAAGGUACUAGACGAAUAAGCACCGGCUAACUCCGUG